rnacentral:lncRNA from 13 species
GUUCUGUAUCUAUGGACGCGACCCAGUCGUUCAGUCUAAAUGUUCUGUAUCUAUGGACGAGACCCAGUCGUUCAGUCUUGUUGUUCUGUAUCUAUGGACGCGACCCAGUCGUUGGUUCUAAAUGUUCUGUAACUAUGGACGCGACCCAGUCGUUCAGUCUAAAUGUUCUGUAACUAUGGACGCGACCCAGUCGUUGGUUCUAAAUGUUCUGUAACUAUGGACCCGACCCAGUCGUUGGUUCUAAAUGUUCCAUUGCCAGACUGGCUGGCAACGUUCUUAUCCCUUGCCAGCUAGCCAACUACAGCUAACUUACAGUCACGUCAAACAGCGUAGCCAGAAUAACAACAAAGUUGCUGUAUUUGUUGAAGCUGUUUUCUAGUGACAUUUAUUUGGAUCCAUAACAAUGAGCGAAUGAGGCGCAAUUUCACCUGGCAGAGAAAAUAUGUUCUCUCAUCAGGACACUUGUUCAGAGGAGCUAGCCAACAACACAGCUAACACAAUCACUUCAAACUGAAUCUGGAAACACUUCAAACUAGUUGACCUUCGUCUCCAUAUAGUGGAGAUCAAGUUUAUAAAUUGCCUGGCUGGGCUGAUGAGACAGUGGAUUGUACAGUCAGAUGGAACAGAGUAAAUAGGCAUUUUAACAUCAUAGAUUUAGCCGGUAGACACUGUCUGAAAUGCGGUUUUAACCAAUCAGCAUUCAAGAUUAGACCCAAGUAACAUCCUCUUCUCUCCCGUGGUGUUCCCAGGCGACAGCCCUCAUAAAGGAGAGUUCUCCAGGUCCAGCCUGCUGUCUGUGGCCUCAAGCAUGUCUCUACCUCUCAGUGUGGACAGCCUCCAUCUCCAUCCCAUAAGGAGCCAGGCAGAGAACACCAGGAGCUGCCUGUCCCCCUCUCUGGGACCAGACAGAGACAGGUCUCCCAGCCAGGGCAGUCUGAGGAUGGCCCUCUGCCCCCUGGAUAUCUCAGUGGAGAACACAGUGCUCCAGGACUCCCAGCAGGAUCCUCACUGCCUCCAGCCAUCCUCCCCUGCACCACAGUCCACCCAGCCCCUUGACCUCCACAUCUACCAGCUCCCUGCACCAGAGUCCAAAAAUAAAAAGUACCCUGGCUUGCUUCCGGACCUACAGUCCACUGAGCAACAUCAGAGAGACAGCAGAGUGAAUGUCUCUACCCAGGCUGCUAUAGAGUUGGCAGGGGGGCUUGAGUCCAGUGCUGACAGCUUAUCUCAGUACAGAGACAGGGUCAAAAACAGCUUAUCUCACUACAAAGAGGAAGACAGAGACAGUUUAUACAGGAACAGAGACAUGGACAGAGACAGUGCAGUAGCGUCCUGUCCCCAGGUUAACACCACCAUUGAUCGUAGUAAUCCUGAUGAUUCCUUCGUAGGCUCCCAGACUCUGCAGGACAUUAGGCUUCUGCUGGGCCGGGCUGAAAACAUUGUGUCUGGUGGGUCCUCCACCUCUGGCGCCUCCUCCCACCUCCUCCACUCUGACGACGACAUCCUGCUCCUCUCUCUCAGGAGGAAGAUGGAGGUAUUCCAGGACUCCUCCUUCACCUCCUCCUCUGGUGGGGCCGGGGUGGGGGACCCAAGGAGUCACUCCUCCUUGCUUUGGGCCCGCUCCUCCUCUGACUCCAUGCUGCCGGCAGUUAGGAAGAGGGAUAAGGAGAGGGAGAGCUCUGCCUACAACAGGGAAGGUCAUGUCAGGCUAACCAGAGAAGCAGAGCAUCAGUCCACACCCGCCAGAGAGGAGUCUGGGAGACUACUACAGGACAGAGAGCAUCAUGGAAGACCAAGGGACAGUUCUGAAGACAGAGAGCAUCAUGGAAGACCAGGGGACAGUUCUGAAGACAGAGAGCAUCAUGGGAGAUCACAUGACAGUUCUGAAGACCAAGAGCAUCAUGGGAGAUCACAUGACAGUUCUGAAGACAGAGAGCAUUAUGGGAGACCACCACAGGACAGUUCUGAGCACAGAGAGCAUUAUGGGAGACAACCACAGGACAGUUCUGAGCACAGAGAGCAUUAUGGGAGACCACCACAGGACAUCUCUGGCAGUAGCUCUACCUUCCUCCUGACCGAAUCUGUGCGGAGAGCGGAGCCUGAGGGCUGCAGUGCUGGCCUCUCGGACACGCGGAUUGGCCCUGUGCUGUUGUCAGUUAUGCCGGUCAGCCAACCUGGUCCCUCAUUGGGUGAUGCUGGCGUUGGCAAGCUGCAGCAGGCUCCAACAACACCAGUGGGAGGAGGAAACCCAGAAGUGCAGAUGGCUCCAGAAGAGGGAAGCUCUUUGUCCUCUUCGUCCUCCUGUCCCGUGGGCUCUGAGCAGGGGUGUGGAGGUCUGUCUGAGCCGGCCCACGGUGGGGAUCAGGGUGGAGAUGCUCUGAGUGAUGGUGGCAGCAGCAGCAGUUCACUAGCAGCCAGGGUAGCCAGGCUGCUCCAGAAUGAGUCCCCAGCCACGGUGGCGUCCCUGUCCAGCCGAGCCAGUACCGCCACAGCAGACCUGGAGGAAAGCAGAGCCAGAGAGUGGCUGAGGCUGAAGGUGUCGGGGCAGCACUGUGAAACUCUGGAGCUCAACACGGAGGAUAGACAACGCAUAGAGGAGAUCAAGAGAGAGAUACUCUUUAAACACCCACUACAGAACCCGAGGAGCACGGACACGGACAGCAGUACUGCGUCCAGCCUUGUAGGUCCAGGGGGCCAGCCUCCCUCCCUACCCCAGCCUGAGGAGCAGUUGGUUGGGGAGAAGAAGCAGUUCAGGGCCCUGAAGGCAGCAGAGGACUGUCUGUCCCACCAGCUACAGCAGCUGAGCAGGAACCCGUUUGACGACAGCGUUGAGCUGCGUACCCCUCUAAGGCAGGACCUAGAGGGCCGGGUCAGACAGAUCGCCCUCCGAGAGGGGUUAUACGUCCUCCCUAGAACGCACCCUCCACCCCUCACCUCCAUCACCAUUGCCACCUCCCGCCGCUCCCCCCUCCCCGAGCCUCUACAGGUGUCCCAGUUCACCUUAGAAGGGGUCUCCCAACCCACAGUGCAGGGGUGGCUACCUCAGACACGGCCCCAGCAGCAGGGGAGGGAGAGCACCACCACCUCGACACACUGCUCCAUGUCCAGAGACACAUCCACCAUGACUGGAUCACAGGCCAACAGCAGCAGUCUGUACCCCAGAGACAGAAAGACACGCCUGGGCCAGGAGCCGGGCCAGGAGCCGGGCCAGGAGCCGGGCCAGGAGCCGGGACAGGAGCCGGGACAGGAGCCGGGACAGGAGCCGGGACAGGAGCCGGGACAGGAGCCGGGACAGGAGCCGGGACAGGAGCAGGUAGAAUCCCAGCUGAAUCUAUCUUUACCGCUUACUGACUAAAGAACUAACACUGUUAUAGACUAACACUGUUAUAGACUGACACUGUUAUUCACACUCAGAUCUGUUAUAGACUAACACUGUUAUAGACUGACACUGUUAUAGACUGACACUGUUAU